rnacentral:rRNA from 1 species
UACGAAGGGGGCUAGCGUUGCUCGGAAUCACUGGGCGUAAAGGGUGCGUAGGCGGGCCUUUAAGUCAGGGGUGAAAUCCUGGAGCUCAACUCCAGAACUGCCUUUGAUACUGAAGAUCUUGAGUUCGGGAGAGGUGAGUGGAACUGCGAGUGUAGAGGUGAGAUUCGUAGAUAUUCGCAAGAACACCAGUGGCGAAGGCGGCUCACUGGCCCGAUACUGACGCUGAGGCACGAAAGCGUGGGGAGCAAACAGG